rnacentral:rRNA from 1 species
AAUGGGGGAUAACGUAGCGAAAGUUACGCUAAUACCGCAUAUGCCCUGAGGGGGAAAGGUGGGGAUCGCAAGACCUAUCGUUUUCGGAGUGGCCGAUAUCAGAUUAGCUAGUUGGUGGGGUAAAGGCCUACCAAGGCGACGAUCUGUAGCUGGUCUGAGAGGACGACCAGCCACACUGGGACUGAGACACGGCCCAGACUCCUACGGGAGGCAGCAGUGGGGAAUUUUGGACAAUGGGGGCAACCCUGAUCCAGCCAUGCCGCGUGAGUGAAGAAGGCCUUCGGGUUGUAAAGCUCUUUCGGACGGAAAGAAAUCGCCAUUCCUAAUACGAGUGGUGGAUGACGGUACCGUAAGAAGAAGCACCGGCUAACUACGUGCCAGCAGCCGCGGUAAUACGUAGGGUGCGAGCGUUAAUCGGAAUUACUGGGCGUAAAGCGUGCGCAGGCGGUUUUGUAAGACAGACGUGAAAUCCCCGGGCUUAACCUGGGAACUGCGUUUGUGACUGCAAGGCUAGAGUACGGCAGAGGGGGGUAGAAUUCCA